UUUCCGUAGGUGAACCUGCGGAAGGAUCAUUAACCGUACCCGACCGUGCUUCGCGCAAGGCCCGGGAUUACACCUUCUUACCCUUUGUGAAACUCGUACCUUUGCUUCGGCAGCACCGAGCGGGCAACCGCGAGGGUAAGGCUGUCAGAGGCCCACAACGAAACCAGUUGAUGAAAUGUCAUGCCGUCUGAAUAACUUCUAUUUGAGAAAUCAAGUAAUUCUGCUAAAACUUUCAGCAACGGAUCUCUUGGUUCCCGCAUCGAUGAAGAACGCAGC
rnacentral:misc_RNA from 1 species